ACCGACGGCCAUACCACGUUGAAAGCACGACAUCUCGUCCGGUCUGUCAAAUUAGGUAACGAUCGGCCUGGUUAGUACUUGGAUCGGAGACGGCGUGGGAAUCGCAGGUGCAGUGAGUG
rnacentral:rRNA from 1 species